UCCUGUAGUGUGCUCUGGCUGUCGGAGCCAAAGGGUCCAAUUACCCUCUGGCAAGCUUUGGAAUCUUCUUUCUCUGUCUGCAGAGAUGUCUCUUUCUGCACUCGUUACUUCUGGAUUGAAAAGCUUACUCUGUUGAUAAAUCUAUACAAGCUAGACAGCAAGCAGAGUCAGCUCCAUCUAUCUGGAAAAAAAAGAAAGCAAAGGAGUUCCUGGAGCCUUUAGUGGAUGACAGUUUCUGCUUCAUUACAUGCACAUUUCAUACAAUUUGCGUGACAAGUGAGCCAAGACGGUGUUUUUCAUCCAUGACUUGGUGUGCAGGAGAGGAGGAAGAUGACAAAGCAAAGAGCCUGAAGAUUUUGAGGAGAGAAGGGACCAGGGCUUCACUGUGUUUUGGAGUCUGCUGGGAUAAACGGCCAUUCAUGAAUUUUACAUUUUAAAUUCCAGGCACAACCUGAAAUCCAAAGAGGAUCUUCCCAGAAGACCUAGUGAACUCCAGUCUGGGUUCUGCAGAACUAAGACUCUUCACACACUGGGACAGGAGCUUGGGGAUUCUUAACAAGACGCUUGGUGUAUGUUUUCCUUCAAAGAAUCGGGAAAAUACUGAUUUUGCCAACCUCAUCCUGCCCUGGCAUAAAAAUCAAAUCGUUAGUGGCAUGGCAAGGUUAAGAAGCAAUGUUUCCUGAUCUUGCUUCUUAAGAAACUACUAAUCAGAUGCAGCUGGUGCAUGCCAGGAUACUCGAGUUGCUGCACUGUGGCAGAGUCUGAGACAGGUGAGGUCCUGCUCUCAUGGAGUCUAAAUUAAGAUGCUGGAAGAUUGAAAAGAUGUGCAGAUCAAGUAACAAAGAGACACGCAAUAAUUGUAAGUAAAUAGGAAUGUGCCCAGUGGUAGUAAAUGCCAUGAAAAUAUUUUAAAGAUAGUGGCGUGUAAACCAUUGUUAGUCAUUAAAGUCCUUUUGGACAACACAGCAUGUAACAGCAAUCAGCUGUCUCUUUCCCAAUUCCCAUGUUGAAAUAUCAAUCCCCAAUGUGAGACUACUAGUGGAUAGAUAUUUGAGGGGUCAUUAGAUCAUGAGGGCAGAGUCCUCAGGGAUGGAAUUGGCGCCAGUUAUGAGAAGCAGCAGAGAGCAGUCUAGCCUCUCACACUGAGUGUUGGUUCAGUGAUACAAAACCAUCCAGGACAAAUUGGAUCCUCACCUGAUGUCAGAUACCCUGAUUGUGAGUUUCCAAGCUUCAGAACUGUGAAGACUAAGUUCCUACAGUUUACCGGUUUAUAUGGCAUUAUCUCACGGCAGUCCAAAUGAGCUCAGACAUAAGCUGAGAUCUUAGUGAGAAACGAGCUGCAUGAGCUAAGCAGCAAGAGAAAAUCGAGUCAAAGGCUCAAAAAUGACUCAAAACCAGGUCCCAGUGGACACGGGAAAGGGGCAGGUUACCUGGAGUGUGAUAAAUAAGAACAGAGAGCUGGGAAGUAUACAAGGUAGCUAGAGCCAGAUCACACACACCUCCAGCAGGCAGGGCAAGGAGCCUAGAUUACUAGAGGAAGGUCUUAGUCCAGAAAUGAGCCCAUUUGAGGAGCUUUUGGGACAUCGGAAAAGCCAUGGCUGUUGGAAUCAGGAAACUAUAAGAUUUGAGAAGUCUGUGUGGGUUGGUUCAUGAACCAACUGUUUGAGAGUAGCAGAAAUGAAGAGAAAGGAACCAUUACAGAAACAGUGACCAACGGGGAGAAGAGAGAAGCAGGCGUGACUGAUUCCGUGAAGGUCUCAGUUGACCGGAGGAAGACUCUCCAGCACAGUGAAACAGACAGAUCUUGCUGAUGGAGACUGAGUAGGGUUACUGUGGCUCAAUACAAACCCGAGUACCCGGUACUCAGUUAUGCCCCCAGCAUCCCAUGGUGCAGACUUGGAACAGCAAGCCAGCUCCAGAACGCACAUAUACAAACCUUAUACAAGUCUUAGUUCCAUGGGCAAAUCCUCACCAGUGUGAGACCAAGUCGGCAAGCGUUCUGGAGGACGGGGUAGCUACACUGUGCUGGGACACAUUAGGAGUAGCAACCUGGGUGGACAGAAUCGUGCCUUUGAUGGUUGAGGAUCAAAUCAGUGCCCUGUGCCUUUGGAUCUGGGUACUGCUUAAACUGAGUCUUUAGUGUUAAUGUAAACAGAGUGCUGACUAGGAACAAAGAGGGACGUUCACUGCAGCUAGAACUCGAUUGGGCAUUCUACAGGCUGGUGUGCCCUGGGUUAAGAAAAGAUGAACUGAAGUUUCUGUGCCAACGCCACCCCAGAACAGCAUCAAGUGUCCAUGCUCCAACAGCAGUGCCAUGUCUAAUUGCAUGGUCUUUAAUUUUGAUUACAAGUAAAGCACCUCUAUGUAGUCCCAAAGUCCAUAUGCUUCAUCGCAGAUCACACUGUCUGCUAAGUAAAGGGUGCAAUUUUACUCAUUGCAGUAAAAUUGAUCCAUAAUUAUGAGCUAAAAUGAAGCAUAUUUCAAGGAGAUGCAAGAAAAAUUCCAUAGCAAUGUACAUAGUUGCUGACUAUAGGUAGAUCAUGACUGGCCAGCAUAUGUAGUAUUUCCUAUAACAAGCUAACACCAUGGUUGUUUUAUUAGAAGUACUCACUUUUUGGUGCCUUUCUGUGCUCUGGGCAUAGUGCAGAACACAUUUUACAUGUUCUCAUUCCCCUCGGCUCUGGCCCUAUUUGUGUGUUUGGUAAUGUCCCCGAGGAGUUGAAGGGCGUCAGGGGCCAUGUGCUCUGCUCUGUGUCAUCUGGCUUGCCCAGCUUUCCCACUGCCAUAUCAUGCAGGAACUCAUUUGAAUCCGUUGCUUUUCCUGAAGAACCAAGGCAACAACAAAUUACCUAAACUAACCGCGUGAUCCACAGAUAUUCAGACAAUCACACCCUAAUGGAAAGAGAGAUUCAGGGGGCUGCUCUAGGCCACACAACUGCUGUCUGUUAUACAUAGUGAAGCCAGACCCUGACCCAUCUUCUAUCACCCUCACUUUCUCCAAGACAGAGCUUUGCGUGAGAGCAAGAGCCAGUGUGUGUUCAGGGUUAGGACAACUCCAUGUCGGUUCUCCUUGGCCAGCACAUUUCCAAACAGUCAAUGAAUGGGAUGGAGUAAGAAAUGACUCCUGUAAAUGGUGCAUAGUGUUUUUAAAUGGCCAGGGUGCGAGGAACUGUGGAAAGAUCGUCGAAACAAAAACACUGUGGCUUCAGAACGAAUAAACACCACCUGGAGGAAACAGAGCCUCCCUUCUCAGGCAGCCUCGCCUGUGGCAGCAUUCGCCCCAGCUUAGGAAUUCGUAUACCACUCUCUGCUUCCCACUUCUGCUCAAGUAUGUCUCCUUCAUCCCCCCCAUCUACUCACAUCCUGACCCUCAGCUCAGGACACCAGCAGCAGGCAGGAUGGAGCUUUGAAGAAGAUGCUAGGAUGACCUUCCUUGACUUUCUGAGGUGGGUUUUACUUUAAUGUGGAAAUAGUAAUGAGCAUGAUAGCUCACCUGAGAGAGAGAGAAUGUGUGUGUGUGUGUGUGUGUGUGUGUGUGUGUGUGUGUGUGUGUGUGUGUGUUGACAGGAAGGGUGAUCAUAAUAAUGGCUGAACCAGAGAUCUGGUCUUUCCUGACCCACUGAUAAAAUUUCUUGGAUUGAAUAGAAGCAAUCUCUUCUAUCAUGAUUGGAGCCAGCCACAGAAAAAUCUCUGGUGAGACUAAAAAACCUGACGAAACAUAAAAGAGGCAUUGAUUCAAAGUAGGUGUUGGAACUGCCCUGGGAACAAGGAAAUAUGCAAGGUUUGGUGAAGCAGUAGUGUCUUCUGAGAGGAAGAAGCAAAGGAAUAAUUAACAGACCCAGAGCUGGCUGCCACACACCAGUGUCGCAGCCACCAGAGAGACUAAGGCAGAGGGGAGGGUCAACUAAACUCGGGAUUUCUGGCUAAUAUGAACAAUAUAGCAAUAUCCCAUCUUGGGAAAAAUAAAAUAAAAAGAGCCCAACCAAAAUGGGCUGUGAAGCUAACACAUUCUUACUGAAGAGGGAGGGUCUCAAUGCUCACUUUUAUAUUAUUUACUGAUAAACUAGAUAUCCAUCACUAAGCCCAGGAAUUUAACUGAAGUAUUCGCUCACUAUAUUACACCCACCACCAUGCCUGCUGAAUUAUUCCUCAGUGGUCUUCUGUCUAAGGUGCUACUGAGGAGCCCAGAGCAACAAGCAUGGCUACCAUGAUGAUAUUAAGGCUGGCAGGGGAAGAUGGAGAGAGGAUGGAUAAACCCCAAGAACUAGCUGCACUCUGUGGUGGGGCUUAGAGAACAAAGACCUUCAUAGGUUGGAGUUCUCUGUGCCUUAUGUGCUCGCUAACUAGGGGAAGGAAAUUGUCCCCAUGUGGUAGUUUCAUAAGCAGAUCCAGGGUGUUGAUGGCUUGACUCAGAGAGUGACUCACACCCCACUCCACCCAGGAAUGAAGCCACAAAGGAAUCUUUCAGAACACAGGUGUGAGUCAUGCUGGGGCAUUGACCCAUACUGUGAUGUCACCGCUACAGCCUGUUAUGGGGCCACCAAGUGACUGCAAAAGUAGUGGUUACAUCUGCAUUCAAUUGAGUUCUAUUAUAUUAAUCAUAGCAAGGCUAAUAUCUGCUACUUGCAUUUUAGACAGCCAGAAAUCUUGAAAAUGAGUGUGAGAGGUUUUGGUAAUAAGGCUUUGAUAAUAGAAAGGCGGUUGGAUUAA